rnacentral:rRNA from 1 species
AGGCGGACGGGUGAGUAACACGUGGGCAACCUGCCUAUAAGACUGGGAUAACUUCGGGAAACCGGAGCUAAUACCGGAUACGUUCUUUUCUCGCAUGAGAGAAGAUGGAAAGACGGUUUACGCUGUCACUUAUAGAUGGGCCCGCGGCGCAUUAGCUAGUUGGUGAGGUAAUGGCUCACCAAGGCGACGAUGCGUAGCCGACCUGAGAGGGUGAUCGGCCACACUGGGACUGAGACACGGCCCAGACUCCUACGGGAGGCAGCAGUAGGGAAUCUUCCGCAAUGGACGAAAGUCUGACGGAGCAACGCCGCGUGAACGAAGAAGGCCUUCGGGUCGUAAAGUUCUGUUGUUAGGGAAGAACAAGUACCAGAGUAACUGCUGGUACCUUGACGGUACCUAACCAGAAAGCCACGGCUAACUACGUGCCAGCAGCCGCGGUAAUACGUAGGUGGCAAGCGUUGUCCGGAAUUAUUGGGCGUAAAGCGCGCGCAGGUGGUUCCUUAAGUCUGAUGUGAAAGCCCACGGCUCAACCGUGGAGGGUCAUUGGAAACUGGGGAACUUGAGUGCAGAAGAGGAAAGUGGAAUUCCAAGUGUAGCGGUGAAAUGCGUAGAGAUUUGGAGGAACACCAGUGGCGAAGGCGACUUUCUGGUCUGUAACUGACACUGAGGCGCG